rnacentral:tRNA from 1 species
AUUUAUAUAGUAUAAUUUAUUAUAAUUGAUUUCCAAUUAAAAGAUCUAAAAACUUAGUAUAAAUA